UUAAAAGCAUGCACCACCACAUUCAGCCUCAAAUCAUUUCUUGAAAUUUGAAAAGCAGGAGCUUUUGAGUGUCUAAAAUUAAGGGGGCAGAGGGAAUACAAAAUUUUGAAUCUCCUAGGAAAUGGUCAACUAAAGUCCUGACGUUAUUUAGCCAUUCGUUUGCCUAAUGAAUACUUAAUAAUCAUCAGCCGUAUGCCAGGCGUGGUGCUUGGCCCUGUGGACACUGCAGGAAACAAUGCUGACCUCGUAGUCAGGGAGGGGGUCUAAGUCAGUUCACUAAGCAAGCGAGGUCUCUGCAUGGUAGAGGGUCAGUGAUGCAAUAGGGGAAAGUUGUGCAGGGUCGGGGACUGGCAAGGGUGGCGAGCACAAGCAGUGAAGGCUGUGGGGUGGAUGUGCCGGUGAACUCCCACAAGGAGGGGGCGGUUCUGCAGUGUCUCCGCUCAGACACCACGUGAGGGCCCAGGCUCCAGAGCGCAGCAGCAGGUCAUUUGCGACCUCCUAGUGCCUUGCAGUCACCUCUCCUGUGCAAACUGGAGCCACUGCCAGGACUUGAGAGCAAGAGACGCAUGCUGUGUAGACAGUUGCUUUGCCAGGAUCUCCUUCUGCCAGGAGACUGGCAAGGCCAGUGGAGGCCUGUCCUUCUGGGUGAUCAUCACUACUUGCCCUGAGGACCUUUACGGACCAGAGAAGCCUUUAUCCAGGAGAGAGGGUGGUAUGUGGGGGCGGGGUGAUGCGGGAAACAAAAGAGAAUCUGAGACCAGAAUGCAAGACUGCACUGAGGCACCACCAGCCUGCUUUCCUGGAGCGAGAGGAAAAAUAGGAAUGAGCAAGUGAGCUUGUCCUGUGCUUUCCCUGCCAGCCCUGCCCCCAGCUCCUGGAGCAGGGAGGGUCCUGGCUCUGCUGAGGCCGGUCUUCAGUCACUCUGGGGGCGUGGUCUUUGAGGCAGGGAGGGGCAGCCCAGUGCUUGCUUGCACAGCUGUGAGCCUCCAGCGUGCGAAAGGGCAGGGCUGUUUUGAAAAUUAUCCCUACUCUUUUUGAAAAGUAUCCCAACUCGGAAGGCUGGCACAAGGCAUCGCCGCUCUCGGUGCAGCCCCAGAUGGAACCUAUCUGCCCAGAUCCUUCCUCCCCGUCUUUGCUGCCUUCUUUCCACAUUGCAGAGAAAGCCUGGCCUCCUUCCAGGAGCCAAAGCCAGCCUGACUCCUGGUCCCUCAUCCUCCUCUCCCUACCCAGCUGCUCUCCAGGGCUUCUGAGGUUGAGGGCAGCUGAAGUGCUGAGCAGGUGCUGGUGGGUGAGUCACAGGAAGAAGCCAGGUGUGGUGUGCCGCCCGGCUGGGCUCAAGCUGAGAACUGGACUGGGGGCUCAGCUCUCUUGCCUGUGGCCACACUGCACCUGCUAGAUCUAAGGAGUCGGUCCUCUUGAACUACCCCGACACUGCCCCUUCGGCCGCAUCCUCCCUAUCCCUAGGGCUGACCAGGAAUGGCCUGGAGAGGCAAGGACUGGGACUUGCCUGCCUCUACCCAGCCGUACCCCGGCCUCUGCGCAGUCCUUGCUUGGGACCCUAUCUAGACUGCUCCAACCCAUGUUUGGGGUGACCAGAGGGAGGGGCUGGCUUCAGGACUGAGGCAGGUAGCAUCCUUCCCAAAGGAUUCAAAGCCUCUUUUGUUCAGAGGGAUUGGGCAGUUUCAUCAAAGCUAAGCAGGAGGUGGGGUGCCUGGCAGAUUAACACAUCAACCAAAUGGCUGUGUAGUCCUUGCAGAGGAGUCCCCAUCUAAACAGACCCACUGAAAGGAUGUUUCUGAAACUGAGAAGACUGAAUGUAGAUAUUGGAUGAGAAUGAAUUAUUGGUUAUUGUGUUGGACAAGAAAAUCGUAUGGUUUUUUAGGAAAAGAAAAGAGGGCUGGGCAGACACACCCCAGUCCUCAGAGGCAUAGGGAGGGAGGUGCUGCAGGCUGGAGGCCAGCUGAGUCGGCAGAGGAAGUUCCAGGCCCUGGAACCAUGGCAGGCAGGACCGACCAAACAAA